GACGAACGCUGGCGGCGUGCCUAACACAUGCAAGUCAACUUGACGGAAGGAGCAAUCUGACCGUAGAGUGGCGCAAGGGUGCGUAACGCGUAAGUAACUUGCCCCAAGGUAAGGAAUAACGUCGAGAAAUCGGCGCUAAUACCUCAUAAUGCAGCGGAUCCGCAUGGAUAUGUUGUUAAAGGUUUACCGCCUUGGGAUAGGCUUGCGUCUGAUUAGCUAGUUGGUGUGGUAACGGCACACCAAGGCUACGAUCAGUAACUGGUCUGGGAGGAUGAUCAGACACACUGGAACUGAGACACGGUCCAGACUCCUACGGGAGGCAGCAGUGAGGAAUAUUGGGCAAUGCUCGAAAGAGUGACCCAGCAACGCCGCGUGGAGGAUGAAGGUAUUCUAUAUCGUAAACUCCUGUGAGAGCAGACGAAAGACAGAUUAUAAUCUGGAUGACUGUAUGCUCAGAGGAAGCCCCGGCUAACUACGUGCCA
rnacentral:rRNA from 1 species